UGCCUUUCUCUCUGUUUUUAAUUUGUGCACAAGAUCCCACUGGCUAAACAAAAUGAUGGCUACACUGGGAGGAGGUGUCGCCUCCCAGGCCCCCACCCACACACACUCCAAAGGAGCUCAUCCAUUUGGGCCUGAGUGGCCAUGGCGGGGGAGAAUAGAUUCACUCUCUGUCUUUCAGAAGGAAGAACAAGGCCCAGAGGAGGGAAGAAUUCACUAUGGGCGGCAGAUUUUGGUCAUCAGAGGAAGGGGCUCUGCUGCUUGGAGUCGUGGCCCCGGGGUGGAAGCUAUGGCUUCCUGGUGAUGUGCUGAGCUCUCUGGCCCUGGAAACGCUUGCGUGCAGAUCAGUCUUCGUAUCCAGACUGAAAGACACCUUGGAGAUCAUUUGGACCAAAGGCCUCAUUUUCACCUGAGAAGCUGUCGUUUUUCCCUUGAUUCCCCCGCUAGUUAGUGGCAGAGCCAGUCUCCUCUAACUCACAGCCGGAAUGAUUUCCAUCACCACAGAAAGGUUAGGCCAUAAAUAUACAUUUCCAACCUGAACCAGCUCAGCGACUGUCCCUAGUAAUUCUCUCUCUUUGGCCACAAGAGAAGGCACAGCACCACACCCAACUCUGGGUAGAGAAGCUGACACGACGACAGGUCAGAGUCAGAGUAUCUUCUCAGCUGCUUGCUCAGCCACUCUGUCCGAGUUUCCCCAAAGCGGGAGGAAAGUGAAGGCAUGGGAGGCCACGUGCCAGAACUUUGAACCUCGGCUCCCCGGGCUUGCGUUGGGCACCUGGUAGUAACGGGAGUUUCUCCAUUUCUUUUCCCAACUAUUACAGGAUCUUUUACGGCCCCUGUCACUGUCAGUUUUACUUUGUUAGGCCCAUCCACAGUACGUUGAAAACCACCUCGCACAGCCAUACCUAUUGAUGUAAAAAGGCAAAGAGACCACGCUCUCCUGUUUUCCUAGGAGGAAACUGAGGCACGGAAAUAUUAAGUGGCUUUGGCUAAGUUAAAAACAGAAGUAGGAAUCUACCUGCUGCCCGGUCCACUGUGCUGUCCAUCAUCUCCUUAAACUGGGGAGUUUGGUAGAUUUGCUCAGGGUUCAGAAAAGUGGCAGAAGGGGCGGCCCGAACAGGAGAAAGAGGGCGCAGCGAGGAGGUGGGAGAUUCAAAGAGCCGAGGACGGAGGCUGGGAGAGGAGCGACGUAUGGGAAGCGGGGAAGAGACGGGACUCUCCGAGCAACGACCCGACUCCCUGCUUGACGAAACCAGUAGGCGUGAAAUAUCACGGGAGCCACUGGACGCUUAACGCAGACAUAGCUUCGUUUUCCAGUUGAGAUUUGAAGACCUUUCUUCCCAGCCUGAACCACAUCUCCGAGAGGCGCUGGGGAAGUCGUACAGCC
rnacentral:lncRNA from 10 species